UACGUAGGGACCGAGCGUUGUCCGGAUUUAUUGGGCGUAAAGAGCUCGUAGGCGGCCGUUCGCGUCGGAUGUGAAAGCUCAGGGCUCAACCCUGAGAGGCCAUUCGAUACGGGACGGCUAGAGGUAGGUAGGGGAAAGUGGAAUUCCUGGUGUAGCGGUGAAAUGCGCAGAUAUCAGGAGGAACACCGGUGGCGAAGGCGGCUUUCUGGGCCUUACCUGACGCUGAGGAGCGAAAGCUGGGGGAGCGAACAGGAUUAGAAACCCCGGUAGUCC
rnacentral:rRNA from 1 species